ACUGCAUAUCAAGACCCUCCCCCCAAAAAAAUAGUUCUUCCACUGCACUGAUUGGUCACCUGGGUGGAUCUGAGUGUGCAGACACAGGACUGAGGACUCUUGAUCAGCCUGCAGCUUCCUUGGAACACAAAGGAUUUAACCACAGCCUCCUGAAUGCUGGGAAAUGGAAAAUGCUGGUCUUCCCCCAGAUGUCUUCUUACAGACGUGCAAGAGAUUCUGAUAAACCACAAGUCUUUUACAGGGAGACAAAAAAACCACAAAGAUUGAUCACUGCACCGUCAUUCCUGAUGCCGGCUGAGCCCGACAGCGCGUAUUGCAAUGUGAGCAAAUGACAUAAUUGCACGGCUGAGCUCGACUUCUGUGCUAAUUUAUGAGGAAAAUAAACCAUUUGUAAAGGCCUCGGAAACGACUAUAAUGAAUCAUGCUGUGCGCCUUGAUUCCCGCCUGCCCAACCGGGGAGCCCCUUGUUUUAUCGGCCUGUGCCCCUCUGCUCUCAGCCUUGCCUGGCCCAGAUGGAAGCUGCAGAGGGCCGACAUCUAUGCAGAACCCCUGGGGUCCCCACUGCUGGAGGCUUCCCAGGCUGGGGUAAGGACCAGCCCUGCGGCCUCUCCUUUGCGUAGAAGUUCUGCACAGCCUCCCAUAGACUUUAUUUGUUUAAUUUUUAUU